rnacentral:tRNA from 1 species
CCUUUGGUAGCUCAUUGGUAGAGCAACCUCGCAAGAGGUCUGUAGCAGGUUCGAUUCCUGCCCAUGGUC